UGAAUGUGGGCAGUUCCCACAUCGGUAUUCGACCCCGCCUCCACACAUGCAUGUGUUCUUCCCACUUUGAAAUCUUCUCUCUGAAGAGAAGAGGGAUCGGACAUAAAGAGAAGUGUCAAGUGUGCUGCCCAUAUAGUGAAGGCAAACCCUUAUUUUUCUCAUAACUCUCAUGAUGAUGGUAAAUAAUCUUAUGUUUCUGGUGAUCACAGUCCUAUCAUGAUUUACUGCACUGCUAGUAUAACCAUACUCAUCAGCUCUGCAGUUAUUGGGCAUUCAGCAGUUCAACUACAAACAACAUCAAAGGGCUUCCCCUUUGUAUUAUCUAAAGAGACAAGUUCUUGGUAGGUGAAGUGUUGAACACCUACCAAGAACCACAUCAAAAUAGCAAAGCUCCACUUCUACACCUGAAGAACAAGUAUGACACAGCAUCAUACAACCUACAUGCUGUAAACAACUGAAAUGCAGUACCUAUGGCAUAUAUACAUGAAUUUUAACAUAAUAUUAACCUUUUAUAAGAAAUUUAAGGCUCAAAUGCUUAAAUCAUUUAUUUUUUACCUGUAUGAAUUGUAAAGUCUCCAUUUAAUAUGGUUAACCCCUUGAAGACGGCCUUAUGUGACCAGAACAUACUGGCGUUUUGGCAACAUGUAAUCAGUACAAUAAUAUAAACCAGAUAUGCUUGGAUGCUAAUUUGCAUUUUGUCCUAAUUCUGGUUUGUGUAAUGACACCAUGUAGUUUGGUACAUGGUUAGCAGUAGUCUAGAGGAACCUGAUGCCUCAAUUUCAGGAUAGAAGCAAGCACUUACUCCAAAAAGGGAAACGGGAGGUUCCUCUAGACUGUGGUAACCACCUACCUGGCUACAUAAUGUCGUAAGCCAAAAGACCAAAAGUAUCCACCAUGUAAACCUGAAAUUUUGUAUGGCAUAGAGGUGGUCUGCUUGUUUUCGUGCAUGUGUGCAAAAAAUUGAGCUGCCUGUGUUAUUUAAAAUUUUACUUCAUAACUGUAGUACUUACUAAGUGGCAAGAAAUUUGUGAAGACAUCCAGUGCUGCUGCUGUUGGUGUAUGUAAAAUUGAAACAAAGGUGGAAAUAUUUAUGUUGUAAAAGCACUCAACCCUACUUUCAGUAACAUCUGAAUGAUAUUAUAUCCUGCAAUCCAACCAUCCUUCAAUGUAACAUAUUGGCUAAAGCCAGAACAGUGGAACAAGAAGAGGUGGUCCUUGCUAGAUAAUGGCACAGCAACAGAUAGUGACACAACAAUACAGGACACAAUCUCUUCUAUUUGGUCUGUGCCAAGGCUAUAUAAUGAGGGCCAGCAGCAGUGGAGAAGAGAGAUGUCUACACCACGGUUUUGGAUGGAGGAGACAAUAUCCACAUAUAGAGGGUAGCAACAAACAUGUAAAAUAGACAGUUGUACACAGCCUAUAAAGAGUGGACCCCACAAUGUGUGUUAGGUAUGUGGUUAAUAACUUUCGCCAUUAAAAUUGGCAGGUUCAGUUACAAAAUGUUAUGGACCCUUGGGCUUAGAAUCUGUGUUCUGACCAGCUGAAAUGAUAACUGCAUCUCAAGAAGGCCCCUGCCCCAAAGAUUUUAUUACAAAACUCAUUCUGUUCACUCAUAUUCGCCACAUACUUUCUAUUCUCAUUACUGCAUAUGUCAGACAUGGUUGCAACUGGGAAAGAUUCACAGAGCAAAAUAGAAGCUUCCUGAGAACUGAGUGACAUGGGUACCUGAGCCAUACAGUACUGUGAAUGAUAAAAACAAAUGGUUUGAAGAAAAAUUGUAAUUUCUAACUCAAAUUUCUUUUUUUUUUUUUAAUUAAAAACAGCAAACUUUCAGUUGUACAAGAGGGGUUCAACCCAUGUGUGGAUAAAUAUUCAUGCAGUAUGUAUAAUCUCAAUGCCUGAACUUGAAACAAACUGACCACAUUUGUAGUUCAUAAUUUCCACAUUCCCAGUAGUAAUGAAUACAACACAAAACAUGAACAUGUAUUUUCCACUUGUCAGCCAUGGUAUGCCACUCAUUACAGAUUUACAGACUACUAUUAAGCCUUGGGCAAAUUUAAUACAUACAUCCUCAUAACAAAAGCGUCUCUUCCCAUCAGAAUUAUAAACAAAAUUCUCCCCUAUACAAUUGUGGGUGUUACAAACAGAAGAACUCACAGAGGUAUAACAGGCACACUUACACAAAUCUCUCCAGCAUGCAUCCAAAA